GUCCCGUUCGUCUAGAGGCCUAGGACACUGCCCUUUCACGGCAGUAACAGGGGUUCGAGUCCCCUACGGGAUGCCA
rnacentral:tRNA from 1 species